AUGAGGGGAACCGCCUGAACUGAAACAUCUAAGUAGGGCGAGGAAGAGAAAUCAACCGAGAUUCUGUGAGUAGUGGCGAGCGAAAGCGGAAGAGGCUAAACCAUAGGUAGCAAUACUUAUGGGGUUUCGGACAGCAUUUAGUAUUGAUAAUUUCUAGUUGAAACGUGUGGGAAAACGUACCGAAGAGUGUGAGAGUCACGUAAGCGAAAGAGAAAGUCAGCGAGCUGUAUCCAAAGUACCGCGGGACACGUGAAACCCCGUGGGAAGAUGGGGGGACCAUCCUCCAAGCCUAAAUACUACCUAAUGACCGAUAGCGAAUAGUACUGUGAAGGAACGGUGAAAAGAACCCCGGGAGGGGAGUGAAAAAGAAUCUGAAACCCUAUGCUUACAAGCACCGAGAGCACGUCAAAGUGUGAUCGGGUACCUUUUGUAGAAUGGUCCGGCGAGUUAUUGUAUGCGGCAAGGUUAAGUGCUUAAGGCACGGAGCCGAAGCGAGAGCAAGUCUGAAUAGGGCGAGUAAGUCGUAUGCAAUAGACCCGAAACCGAGUGACCUAUCCAUGUCCAGGCUGAAGUGGAGGUAAAACUCCAUGGAGGGCCGAACACACGUCCGUUGAAAAGGCCGGUGAUGAGGUGUGGAUAGCGGAGAAAUUCCAAUCGAACUCGGAUAUAGCUGGUUCUCUCCGAAAUAGCUUUAGGGCUAGCCUCGUGAAAGAUUACUGGAGGUAAAGCACUGAAUGGGCUAGGGGUCGAAAGAUUACUGAACCCUAUCAAACUAAGAAUGCCAGAUAAUUGAUUCACGGGAGUCAGACAAUGUGAGAUAAGUCUCAUUGUCAAAAGGGAAACAGCCCAGACCCACAGCUAAGGUCCCUAAACAUUGUUAAGUGGAAAAGGAUGUGGGGUUGCAUAAACAACCAGGAUGUUGGCUUAGAAGCAGCCACUCAUUAAAAGAGUGCGUAAUAGCUCACUGGUCGAGUGACCCUGCGCCGAAAAUUCAACGGGGCUAAACAAUGUACCGAAGCUUGGGAUUCUAAAGAAAUUUAGAGUGGUAGGAGAGCGUCGAAUAAGGGGUGAAGUCAGAGCGGAAGCGCUGGUGGACUUUAUUCGAGUGAGAAUGCCGGAAUGAGUAGCGAGAAUUAUGUGAGAAUCAUAAUGGCCGAAAAUCUAAGGUUUCCUGAGGAAGGUUCGUCCGCUCAGGGUAAGCCGGGGGCUAAGGCGAGGCGGAGACGCGUAGCCGAUGCACAUACGGUUGAAAUUCCGUAGCCACCGAAAGAUUUAAGUACAGGGACGCUUUAGAAGUGAUGUUGCCGGGCGAUGGUUGACCCGGUCGUAAGGGAUCGAAAAUGAGUAGAGAAGUCAUCAUGGAAAGAGACAAGAAAAGCUGUAUGAAUAUCUUAGGUGCCCGUACCGCAAACCGACACAGGUAGAUAGGAAGAAGAUUCUAAGGCCAACGGGAGAAGGGUUGUUAAGGAACUCGGCAAGUUGACCCCGUAACUUAGGGAUAAGGGGUGCUCAAGUGAUUGAGCCGCAGAGAAUAGGCCCAGGCGACUGUUUAGCAAAAACACAGGUCUCUGCUAAAUCGAAAGAUGACGUAUAGGGGCUGACACCUGCCCGGUGCCGGAAGGUUAAGAGGAGAUGUGAGAGCAUUGAAUUGAAGCCCCGGUAAACGGCGGCCGUAACUAUAACGGUCCUAAGGUAGCGAAAUUCCUUGUCAGGUAAGUUCUGACCCGCACGAAAGGUGUAACGAUCUGGGCACUGUCUCAACAACCCGCCCGGCGAAAUUGUAGUACCGGUGAAGAUGCCGGUUACCCGCGACUAGACGGAAAGACCCCAUGGAGCUUUACUGUAGCCUAAUAUUGGAUUUCGGUAUUUCACGUACAGGAUAGGUGGGAGACUGGGAAGCACAGGCGUCAGCUUGUGUGGAGUCGACCUUGGGAUACCACUCUUGGAGUGCUGGAAUUCUAACCUGCGGCUUUGAAGCAAGUCGGGGGACAUUGUUAGGUGGGCAGUUUGACUGGGGCGGUCGCCUCCUAAAGAGUAACGGAGGCGCUCAAAGGUUCGCUCUGCAUGGAUGGAAACCAUGCGUCAGAGUGUAAACGCAAAAGCGAGCCUAACUGCGAGAAUGACGGUUCGAGCAGUAACGAAAGUUGGAGUUAGUGAUCCGGCGGUAUGUGAAUGGAAAUGCCGUCGCUCAACGGAUAAAAGCUACCCUGGGGAUAACAGGCUGAUCUCCCCCAAGAGUCCACAUCGACGGGGAGGUU
rnacentral:rRNA from 1 species